AGUGAACGCUGGCGGCAGGCCUAACACAUGCAAGUCGAACGGCAGCACAAGAGAGCUUGCUCUCUGGGUGGCGAGUGGCGGACGGGUGAGGAAUGCAUCGGAAUCUGCCCAUUUGUGGGGGAUAACCUCGGGAAACCGGGACUAAUACCGCAUACGACCUACGGGUGAAAGCAGGGGAUCUUCGGACCUUGCGCAGAUGGAUGAGCCGAUGCCGGAUUAGCUAGUUGGAGGGGUAAAGGCCCACCAAGGCGACGAUCCGUAGCUGGUCUGAGAGGACGAUCAGCCACACUGGGACUGAGACACGGCCCAGACUCCUACGGGAGGCAGCAGUGGGGAAUAUUGGACAAUGGGCGCAAGCCUGAUCCAGCCAUGCCGCGUGUGUGAAGAAGGCCUUCGGGUUGUAAAGCACUUUUGUUGGGAAAGAAAAGCAGCCGGUUAAUACCCGGUUGUCAUGACGGUACCCAAAGAAUAAGCACCGGCUAACUUCGUG
rnacentral:rRNA from 1 species